rnacentral:rRNA from 1 species
CGCGUGAAGGAUGAAGGUCCUCUGGAUUGUAAACUUCUUUUAUCUGGGACGAAAACGGGAUUUUUAUCUCAAUUGACGGUACCAGAGGAAUAAGCACCGGCUAACUCCGUGCCAGCAGCCGCGGUAAUACGGAGGGUGCGAGCGUUAUCCGGAUUUACUGGGUUUAAAGGGUGCGUAGGUGGGCUUAUAAGUCAGUGGUGAAAUCUCCGAGCUUAACUUGGAAACUGCCGUUGAUACUAUAGGUCUUGAAUUAUCUGGAGGUAAGCGGAAUAUGUCAUGUAGCGGUGAAAUGCUUAGAUAUGACAUAGAACACCAAUUGCGAAGGCAGCUUACUACAUAUAAAUUGACGCUGAGGCACGAAAGCGUGGGGAUCAAACAGGAUUAGAUACCCUGGUAGUCCACGCCCUAAACUAUGGAUACUCGACAUACGCGAUAUACAGUGUGUGUCUGAGCGAAAGCAUUAAGUAUCCCACCUGGGAAGUACGACCGCAAGGUUGAAACUC